rnacentral:rRNA from 1 species
GACAGAGGGUGCAAACGUUGUUCGGAAUUACUGGGCGUAAAGGGCGCGUAGGCGGCAUGGCAAGUCGGGAGUGAAAGGCCUGGGCUCAACCGAGGAACUGCUUUCGAGACUGCCAAGCUAGAGUGCGGAAGGGGCAUCUGGAAUUCCCAGUGUAGCGGUGAAAUGCGUAGAUAUUGGGAAGAACACCUGAGGCGAAGGCGGGAUGCUGGGCCGACACUGACGCUGAGGCGCGAAAGCCAGGGGAGCAAACGGG